rnacentral:lncRNA from 1 species
GGGUAUGUUUGGAAAGCUACAGAGCAGUAGCCAUAGAAAGACUGCGUGAGACAGAGUCCUAGCCUAUCUGUCCGGCCAGUCGAACCUCAUGUGUUCGCUGCUUUCAUUUUCCCUUGGCUGAGGAAACGAUGGUUUGGUUUUGCAAAGGAAUGCUGGGGACUUCUGCCAGCUUGCUAACGGCCUUGCCCCAUUCAGAUGCAUCGAACUCACAGAACAUCGCUCCCCAGCUGCUGGCUCGCGGUUCUGAGAGUGCCUGAAUAGAAAACCACUCAUUUCCCUUCGCAAAAGAGGCGCCCAAAGCAGAUAUUUCAAUAUAUUCCAAUUUAGCCGAGGGAAGCCAGAACAUGGAUGUUGUUGCCAAGGAAACCACCUCCUUCCUCCUGUGUGCUGUGCAUACGUGUAUCACUUCAUCUCUCUGCUCUCCAAGGCCCCCAAAGGCUCUGCGCAGACCAGCACUGUCUCCUCCUUCAUCCACAGAGAGGAUGAAAGAACAUGGCAAGAGGAAGACUCACAGAACCCCACAGAGAAGCUUUGAGAAUUGGGCUGUCUGGCUCUCCCAUCACCCAUUUGGCCACCAGCUUUGGUCCCAGCUGCUGUGCCCUCGGGGGAUGCAUUAUGGCCCUGAAAGGGGCCCUUGUCCCUUUUUGGGGUGUCAUCCUGGCUGGGUGGUAUGGAUUUCUGCUGUAAACAUGGCCCAUCUGGGAGAAGCCCAGGUGCCACGUUUUGAACAGCUCUGAAACUUAAAGCUCAGAAGGCUUUGAAAUGCAAAUAUUUUGAAGGAAACAUAAGGUUCCUUGAAUUUCUACGUGAAUUUUAGGAUCAGCUUGUCCAUUUCUGCAAAGAAGCCAGCUGAGCUUUUGAUUGGAAUUGCAUUGAAUCUGUAGAUCAAUUUGGAGAGCAUUUGCAUCUUAACAGUAUUAAGUCUUCUCAUCCAUGAACAUAUUAUAUUUUUCCAUGUAUUUAGAUCUUUAAUUGCCUUCAACAAUGUUUUGUAGUUUUUAGAAUAUAAAUCUUGCACUUCUUUUGUUAAAUGUAUUCCAAAGUAUUUCUUUUGACACUAUUGUAAGUGAAAUUGUUUUCUUAGUUUCAUUUUCAGAUUGUUCACUAUAUGAUAUCACUUUUGUGGCAUAGCAUGUGAUUGCUCAUGAAUGGUGCUGAUACACUGAUUUUUAAUGACUUGUUUAGAUAGACAAAAACUUCAAAAUAAGAUCUGCCUUAUGCACACUAGGAGCAUCCUAGCAUCUUUGAA